GUGCUCGCUUUGACAGCACAUAUACUAAAAUGGGAACGAUACAGAGAAUAUUAGCAUGGCCCCUGCAUAAGAACGACACACAAAUUCAUGAAGCACUACGUAUCUUU
ensembl:snRNA U6 U6 spliceosomal RNA